rnacentral:rRNA from 1 species
AUACGUAGGGGGCGAGCGUUGUCCGGAAUGAUUGGGCGUAAAGGGCGCGUAGGCGGCCCGGUAAGUCUGGAGUGAAAGUCCUGUUUUUAAGAUGGGAAUUGCUUUGGAUACUGUCGGGCUUGAGUGCAGGAGAGGUAAGUGGAAUUCCCAGUGUCGAGGUGAAAUGCGUAGAGAUUGGGAGGAACACCAGUGGCGAAGGCGACUUACUGGACUGUAACUGACGCUGAGGCGCGAAAGUGUGGGGAGCAAACAGGAUUAGAUACCCUGGUAGUCCACACUGUAAACGAUGAAUGCUAGGUGUAGGGUGUAUCGACCCCUUCUGUGCCGCAGUCAACACAAUAAGCAUUCCGCCUGGGGAGUACGGCCGCAAGGUUGAAACUCAAAGGAAUUGACGGGG